rnacentral:rRNA from 1 species
AAGCGGCAACAGCUCAAAUUUGAAAUCUGGCGUCUUUGGCGUCCGAGUUGUAAUUUGCAGAGGGCGCUUUGGCAUUGGCAGCGGUCCAAGUUCCUUGGAACAGGACGUCACAGAGGGUGAGAAUCCCGUACGUGGUCGCUAGCCUUUACCGUGUAAAGCCCCUUCGACGAGUCGAGUUGUUUGGGAAUGCAGCUCUAAAUGGGAGGUAAAUUUCUUCUAAAGCUAAAUACUGGCCAGAGACCGAUAGCGCACAAGUAGAGUGAUCGAAAGAUGAAAAGCACUUUGGAAAGAGAGUUAAAAAGCACGUGAAAUUGUUGAAAGGGAAGCGCUUGCAGCCAGACUUGCCUGUAGUUGCUCAUCCGGGUUUUUACCCGGUGCACUCUUCUACGGGCAGGCCAGCAUCAGUUUGGGCGGUUGGAUAAAGGUCUCUGUCAUGUACCUCCUCUCGGGGAGAACUUAUAGGGGAGACGACAUGCAACCAGCCCGGACUGAGGUCCGCGCAUCUGCUAGGAUGCUGGCGUAAUGGCUGUAAGCGGCC